rnacentral:rRNA from 1 species
AGUGAACGCUGGCGGUAGGCCUAACACAUGCAAGUCGAGCGGCAGCACAGUAAGAGCUUGCCCUUACGGGUGGCGAGUGGCGGACGGGUGAGGAAUACAUCGGAAUCUACUUUUUCGUGGGGGAUAACGUAGGGAAACUUACGCUAAUACCGCAUACGACCUACGGGUGAAAGCAGGGGAUCUUCGGACCUUGCGCGAUUGAAUGAGCCGAUGUCGGAUUAGCUAGUUGGCGGGGUAAAGGCCCACCAAGGCGACGAUCCGUAGCUGGUCUGAGAGGAUGAUCAGCCACACUGGAACUGAGACACGGUCCAGACUCCUACGGGAGGCAGCAGUGGGGAAUAUUGGACAAUGGGCGCAAGCCUGAUCCAGCCAUACCGCGUGGGUGAAGAAGGCCUUCGGGUUGUAAAGCCCUUUUGUUGGGAAAGAAAAGCAGCAGGUUAAUACCCCGCUGUUCUGACGGUACCCAAAGAAUAAGCACCGGCUAACUUCGUG